UACGAAGGGGGCUAGCGUUGCUCGGAAUUACUGGGCGUAAAGCGCACGUAGGCGGCUUUCUAAGUCGGGGGUGAAAUCCUGGAGCUCAACUCCAGAACUGCCUUCGAUACUGGAGAGCUUGAGUCCGGGAGAGGUGAGUGGAACUGCGAGUGUAGAGGUGAAAUUCGUAGAUAUUCGCAAGAACACCAGUGGCGAAAGGCGGCUCACUGGCCCGGUACUGACGCUGAGGUGACGAAAGCGUGGGGAGCAAACAGG
rnacentral:rRNA from 1 species